rnacentral:rRNA from 1 species
CAACGCCGCGUGAGUGAUGAAGGUUUUCGGAUCGUAAAGCUCUGUUGUUAGGGAAGAACAAGUGCAAGAGUAACUGCUUGCACCUUGACGGUACCUAACCAGAAAGCCACGGCUAACUACGUGCCAGCAGCCGCGGUAAUACGUAGGUGGCAAGCGUUGUCCGGAAUUAUUGGGCGUAAAGGGCUCGCAGGCGGUUUCUUAAGUCUGAUGUGAAAGCCCCCGGCUCAACCGGGGAGGGUCAUUGGAAACUGGGAAACUUGAGUGCAGAAGAGGAGAGUGGAAUUCCACGUGUAGCGGUGAAAUGCGUAGAGAUGUGGAGGAACACCAGUGGCGAAGGCGACUCUCUGGUCUGUAACUGACGCUGAGGAGCGAAAGCGUGGGGAGCGAACAGGAUUAGAUACCCUGGUAGUCCACGCCGUAAACGAUGAGUGCUAAGUGUUAGGGGGUUUCCGCCCCUUAGUGCUGCAGCUAACGCAUUAAGCACUCCGCCUGGGGAGUACGGUCGCAAGACUGAAACUCAAAGGAAUUGACGGGGGCCCGCACAAGCGGUGGAGCAUGUGGUUUAAUUCGAAGCAACGCGAAGAACCUUACCAGGUCUUGACAUCCUCUGACAACCCUAGAGAUAGGGCUUUCCCUUCGGGGACAGAGUGACAGGUGGUGCAUGGUUGUCGUCAGCUCGUGUCGUGAGAUGUUGGGUUAAGUCCCGCAACGAGCGCAACCCUUGAUCUUAGUUGCCAGCAUUUAGUUGGGCACUCUAAGGUGACUGCCGGUGACAAACCGGAGGAAGGUGGGGAUGACGU